CAUUGAAUAAAUCUUAUUUCAAAAGUCAAAAAAAAAAGAAAAGCACUGUUUAUAAAAUAUCUGAUAAAAAUAUUUAUCUCUGUUAACAUUACAACAGGAAGGUACUUGUUACCAAAUUAUGACGUCUCGCAUAGGGCAGUUUAGACAACACUCACAGACUCCUCCUUUUCUCAUCUUGUUUGAAAUCUUUGUUUUCAGCUUCUUUUUCAGCCUCCACCUUGUUCUCAUCAUUUCCUCCCCCUGCAACCUCUUUUCCUUUUCCUUCUUCCUCCUUUCUAUCUUCUUCUUUCCCAUCAUCUUUCUCCUUCCCAUCUUCCUCACUCUGGCCUUCCUUCCAUCUUCCUUAUUUUCCUCUUCUUUGCAUUUUCUGUCUUCCUCUUCUUUUUCCUCUUUCUGUUCUUCUACUUCUUCUUCCACUUCAGCUUUCUCUUCCUUGUCAUCUUUCUCUUCUUACUUCUUCCCAUACCCUUCCUAUUUGACACCUUCUUUUUCAUCGCCUCCUUUUUCUUCAUCAUCUUUGUCCUCUUUUUCAUCCUCGCUUUCUGCUGAAUCUGCCUUCUCUCCCGGGAUCGCGUCCCUAUUCCCAUCCUCACCUUUAUCUCCAUCCUCUUUUCCAUCUUCAUCUUUCUCUAUGUUUUCUUCGACCUCAUCAUCUUUUCCCUCUGCUGCCACUGCUUCGUUCUCUUCUCCCCUAACUUCUUCAGCGUCUUCAUUCAUCUGUUCCUUUAUUUCCUCAGUUUCCAUUUUAGGAAUGGGGGCCUCAAUAAUUUUGGCUUCUCCAUUUUCAGCAUUUUCCACAUUGCACUCUUCUUUAACAUCUUCUGGCUUGGUUUCAGGAAUUGUUACGGCACCAACAUCUUUGUUUUCUUCCACUAUAACAUUUGAGGUCUUCAGUUUCUUUGGAGUUGAUGUUCUUGUAGGUUUCACCUCUGGUGUAAAGGGCACGGGCAUAGCACACAGCCGGGCAGAUCUUCUCUUUGGCUCCUGACUGGCAUCACCUGCAGCUUUCCUUUGUGGCGUUGUUGCAGCUCUCCGCAGGAGAUCCUUAGGCAGGAGGGGAAAAUGCCGAGAGCAGUCUCUGUCUGACCACUCCACAAGCGACUGAGUUUUCAAAGAACUAAUUGCAGCAUGAUAU
rnacentral:lncRNA from 1 species